rnacentral:lncRNA from 1 species
GGGGACCUGGCCCAGGGCUGCAGCUGAUGAGCUCUCAGUGGGGUGUGGGGUGUGGCAGGUUCUCCUGCUCCUAUCCACUCUCCUCAGCCUGUGUCUGCCCUCCCUCAAACCCCAAAUAGAAGCCUACUUCUGUUUCAUACGUGCCAUAGGUCAUCACAGUUUCAGGGUCCCCGCAGGGACCUGCUCCUCUCUGUCUUGACAUACAUUUGGCUUUUCUGUUCUGGGAUUCCUUCCAGGGAAGUUCCCUUUGCUGCAUUGGUCCCCACACCAAAGAAGUGUCCUGCCCGGGGGAGUCCACCCCACACCCAGCCUCAGGCUGCCUGGUCUCAGCAACCAGUCCUUGUGGCAUGGGCUGCAGUGACAUCAGCUUCCGUUGCCCAUUCAGGGCUGGCCAGCAGUGUAGCCAGCAUCCUGCUGGUGGCUGGGUUACCUGUGAGGGACCUAUUGGGUCAGUGACAAGAAGGGAACUGUAGGGACCGGGUGGGGGCUGAGGGGAGGCCCGGGGUUGAGCUCACUGUGUC